UUAAAUACAUUAAAGACAUUCACCUUAAAUAGAAGUGUAAGAAUCUUCUAUUUCAUAACAGGGACCACGCAAAUUAUUAUUUUUAUUUAUUCAAAGAUCAGCCUUCCCUCUACCCCUAAUACAAUACUUAAAACCAAAAAAAUCGGGAUAUUGGAGUGAAUAAAAAUGACUAAUGAAAGUAGAUCACCACAAUUAAGAUGAAUAUAGUAUUUACGAAACAGUAAACAAAGCCUAUCAAGAUUACAUUAGAUGCAUUUCUGAGAAAACUUUAUCAAGAGGCUAAACAGAACAUACCUUUUCAAAGUAUUUAUACCGGCAACUCCAACUUUGUUAAAUGGAGUCGUAGUUGACAGAAUUGAACAUCCAAGCUCAAUCUUCCUUGACGAAAAGAAAAGAAAGUCGUAUAUUUUGUGCUUUGUUACAUAUUGUUUCUAGCAUUUAAUUUUUGUAAUAGCAUGCAAUCUAAUCACUAGUUAUCGACAAUAAGAGACAACUUAUCAACUUAGCACUCAAAGAUUCAGCCUAACAAACAUUCAUUUAACCACAACAAGAAAAAAAUAGAAGUAGGCGUAAUCGAAAAGUACCUGUUAAUCCAAAAUUUCUUAGUAACAGUUGAAGAACCAACAAAUUGCACGAAUUCUAGUUCCGGAAAAUGAGGACCAAACUACAAUAGAAAACCUCAAGCGGAACCACAAACUUAAACCUCUGGAUCGACCUCGACGGGAAACUUUUCUAACUCGAAUGGAUCUGCUCGGAGUACUUAAGGUGUGUUGUUUGGCUGAAAAAUGGAAGGAAGAGUAAGGUCCAGCGGUAUUGUUGAUUUAAGAUGAAGCAGCGGGAACAUGAGAGAUAGGGUUCAGCCUAAUUCUUAGGUUUCUCUAGGUUUUUCUUGUGACGAAGAUGCAGCAAUAUUUAAAAGUUGAUUUAGCCUUCUAGAAGACAAAUACUUGUCAAGAUACAUGCCAUUCUCUUGACAAAUGGUAAAGGAUUUUGACAAAUAUCAAGAAAUUUGACAAAUGGCA
rnacentral:lncRNA from 1 species